UCAAGUAUUAAUUUAUAGAGUUGUUAAUGUAAUUUGUGUUUUCACUAUUGAGAAUAGCAAGGUAAAUACAUGAGGACUAGAUGAUAAUCUGCGCGCAUGAGCGUAGUGAGUUUUUUAUACUAAUGUUUAUUUAUUAAUGGUUUCAAUAUUUUGCAAUACUACAAUUUUUAUACUACAAUCUUUAUCGAUUGUAAAAUGACGAAUACAAAUGUUGGUCUUUUAAAUAUAUCAUCGUUGUUGAAGAGUUAACGUAUUACAGCUCACAAAAAGAAAUUAUUUUAAUACUUCAUAUACACAAAAAGAAAUUAAGUUUAGCGUCUGAUACAAAUCACCAAAACCAGAUAGACAACAUCGGUGGUA
rnacentral:lncRNA from 1 species